UUCAGGACCAGGCUUAAUCUGUGUCCUGGAAACCGGCCCAAUAACACAGUAACUGAAUUUCUUUAUCUCUGGUACAGGCAGCAAGUUUGUGUGUCUAUAUCUCUGGUACAGGCAGCAGGUUUGUGUGUCUAUAUCUCUGGUACAGGCAGCAAGUUUGUGUGUCUAUAUCUCUGGUACAGGCAGCAGGUUUGUGUGUCUAUAUCUCUGGUACAGGCAGAUAGUUCUAUAGUGAGGUGCGGUAGACAGCAGGUUUCAAUAGUGAGGUGCAGUAGACAGCAGGUGUCUAUAGUGAGGUGCAGUAGACAGCAGGUUUCUAUAGUGAGGUGCAGUAGACAGCAGGUUUCUAUAGUGAGGUGCAGUAGACAGCAGGUUUCUAUAGUGAGGUGCAGUAGACAGCAGGUUUCUAUAGUGAGGUGCAGUAGACAGCAGGUUUCUAUAGUGAGGUGCAGUAGACAGCCUGCCUAACUGUCUCCUCAGCCUGGAUUGUAACACACCACACUCACUUUUAGCAGUCCAAAGUCAAAUAGUGACUCACAAAUUCCUCUGCUUUUCUUUUUCCAGGGAUCAGACAUUAGGGAGAGGCAGCGUCACCUUUCCUCCUCCCUCCUCCACUCCCUACUUCUGCUCCUGCUAGCCUAACCCAGGCCUAUACAGUAAGUUACUUCUCUCUCUCUAACUACUGUCAACACACACCUCUCGUCUCAACAGUAUAUUCUAUAAGAAUCUCARCCCUCUUUCGCUAACUUCCCUCUUCACAAAUAAUAUACAUUUCAGUUGUACAGUCUGCUUCACAAAUAGCCCCCUAUUCCCUGUGUAGUGCCCUAUGGGGCCUGGUCUAAAGCAGUGCACUAUAGAGGGAAAAGGGUGUAAUUUGGAACGCACGCACAGUUACAACACACCUCCAGCCAGAUCUUUUGGUCUUUCGGGCCCCAGACUGCAAUCAAACGGCAGCCACGCCAAAUGCUUUUUCCGGAGGCCAGGAUUUUUUUCAGCUCCUGUAGCUCUGAUAAAAGUCCUGCCACACUCAAACCCCCUAUAGGCUUCUCACACACACACACACACACACAGCCCCCCGAAGGCCACUGAAAACAUCAAAGCGUUUCUACUGUAAGUCAGCAACACCUUUAAACUGCAGGCGUUGUAAUGCAGAGGUGGAAAGAGGUGGAGACUUAGGGAGGAGAGAGGAUGUGGAGAGAGGAGGUGGAGAGAGGUGGAGAGGAGAGAGGAGGUGGAAAGAGGUGGAGACUUAGGGAGGAGAGAGGAUGUGGAGAGAGGAGGUGGAGAGAGGUGGAGAGGAGAGAGGUGGAGANNNNNNNNNNNNNNNNNNNNNNNNNAGGUAUAUAAGUAGUCUGUGAGGAGGUUUAGACGAGGAGAAG
rnacentral:lncRNA from 1 species